CUGAUAGUAAACUUCCUGAUAACCAGGCUGGUUAUGAGAAAGCCCUUAAUUUAACGUUGGCUGUUCAAACCGGUGCUAAUCUAAU
rnacentral:ncRNA from 1 species